GUGAGGAAUAUUGGACAAUGGGUGAGAGCCUGAUCCAGCCAUCCCGCGUGAAGGAAGACGGUCCUAUGGAUUGUAAACUUCUUUUGUACAGGGAUAAACCUACUCUCGUGAGGGUAGCUGAAGGUACUGUACGAAUAAGCACCGGCUAACUCCGUGCCAGCAGCCGCGGUAAUACGGAGGGUGCAAGCGUUAUCCGGAUUUAUUGGGUUUAAAGGGUCCGUAGGCGGACUUGUAAGUCAGUGGUGAAAUCUCAUAGCUUAACUAUGAAACUGCCAUUGAUACUGCAGGUCUUGAGUAAAUUUGAAGUGGCUGGAAUAAGUAGUGUAGCGGUGAAAUGCAUAGAUAUUACUUAGAACACCAAUUGCGAAGGCAGGUCACUAAGAUUUAACUGACGCUGAUGGACGAAAGCGUGGGUAGCGAACAGGAUUAGAUACCCUUGUAGUCC
rnacentral:rRNA from 1 species